UAGUUAAUAACGUUUCUGAAAGUUUUCCUGAAGUUCACUUGUUUGCUGUGAAGAAUUGGGUGGAAUUAGCGCGCUAUCUCAGAGGGUCGUAUUUUGUUUCACAUCAAAGGAGGAGCUUGCUAACGUUAACUUCCGACCUCUGCCCGGGUAACGUUAGCUACUAGCUAACACCGGCAACACCCCCUAUUUUAAAGUAGUCCUAGUGGUAGCCACGUCUAUAGACCGCUAACUAGCCAUUUCAACAUAAACUAUGCUCAUGUGGUUAUGUUCAUCUUUCUCUCUUUUUCCAUUGACGUCAUCAGCAGCUGCGACAGCUCUGCUGAGCACCAGAAGAAGGCCCACGAUGAAGAAAAGCCUCAGCGGGGACUCAAAAGAGUUUGCCCUGGGAGUCCAAGCCCAGCAGCUCCUCACCCCAAAUCUCCCUGCAGACACACUCCUGCCUCCACCAACAUCCAGAUGUCAGAAACAACAGAGGUACAGAUGGAGCCGUGUUUUGGAGAAGAGGGGCAUCAAAGGGAUCCUGAGGGGGGUGUUCUAACAGAGGGUCGGUCGUUGAGCCCCAGCAGCGCGCGAAGGAAAUCCUGGAGGAGGUCGACCAGGGACCGACGCUCUCUCCCUUCCCUCCCCAACACCUCCCAGACUAUAUGCAGGUCAAUCAGCCAAUCCCUACCAGAGGAGGAGAGGCUAGAGAAACUGAUGGAGGCUUCUAUGAGGCUGGCAGUCAAGAAGUUACAAGACUCACUGAGCAUGACACCCAACGGCAGUUUAGAGUCACUUCAGACGCAAGUGGAGGCAGUACAGAAGGGGUGGUGUUGCCUGGCCAAAGACCGACGCAGUGAGCCGCAGUGUCAGCAACCUCCCACUAGCACAGCCAGUGACACUGCAAUGCAGAACACCAUGGAGCAGACCAGGAAGGCUAUACACAGGCUGCAGGCUGAGAGGGCAUCUUGGGAGUCCCUGUUAGACAAGCACCGGAGUAAAGCUGAAGAAUUGGCCAGGCAAGUGGAGCAGUGCCAGGAGAAGGGGGUGAUGUUAGACGCUAGCUGCCUGGCCCAGUCCUCACAGAGCCAGCUCAUCCAGAACAAACCUGAUUACCACAGCCUGCUCUGCAGACAGCAGACUGUACUGUCCACUAUGGACAUAGUGGGAGACCAGAUGAGAACAAGUUCUCAUUUACAACUACGACCUGGCCAAGAUAAAGCAAAGCAGUGCGACACAAACAACACAUGGGAUAAACAAACAUGGACACCCAGUGUAAGAUGAUCAGGGAGCUGCUGUCCAUACAGGAACAGUCUCAGCUACUGGUGAAGGAGACAAGCAGGAGAUUGGCGGCUGAUGUGGGAUUCCAGGAUCUCUCCUCUGACCCAGUCAGGGAUCUACUGGCAGGACCCGUAUCCUCUGUAUCAACCAACACAUCAUCCACUGUAUCAUUCUAGUACCUCUGUUUUAGGGUUAUCACAAUACAGUAUCAUGGUACAACCAAACUAGAUUUUUCAUGUCAAAAAAAGAUAACUAAGCAAACUGAAUUCUGGCUUUGUACAAGCAGGACAAAGCACACCUUUAAUAGCACAGACUCUAUUGUGACCUUUGGUCUCGUCCAGGUUCACUCAGUGAAUGACCUAUGAGAAAGAUCAGUCUGGCUUUUUCUGUAUUUCCAGUAUUUAUGUCAUGUCUUAACUCUGUACCCAUGGCUCCCUAACUUAGCUGUUUUCUGUGGUGCCUUGUGUGGUUGUGUUUGUAAAUAAGUCUCUAUGGUAUCUUUCUUCAUGGGAUAAAUGUGGAUUAUUUCAACUAUAACUUUCUAUCUAUUCUAAUUCUAUUCCACCACUAUACUCUUUUAGUCCUCCUAAAUGGCACCCCAUUCCUUAUAUAGUGCACUACUUUUGACCAUCUGUAUAGGUUAUAGUGUGCCAUUUGGGACGGAGGCCGGUCUCCCUACAAAACGUAUGCCGGUCUCCCUACAAAACGUAUGCUGUUGGCCACCAGAGGGCGAUCUCACCCUUUAUUUAAAUAGCUAAUGAAUAUUCACCUACAGUAAAAGAUGUAGAAAAUAUUCACUUGCAGUGGAUGCAUUUUGGAGUUAAUUUGUAAGAUACCUGCUUUCCUUUAUUUUCCUGUACAGUCUUGUCUGUUUUUCUUGUAAUUUUUUUUUAUGAUUUACUUUUUUAUUUAUUUAUUAUUAAACAGUAAUUAUCUGAA